AAGACUAUACUUUUAGGGAUCAUUUCUAUAGUCUCUGAACUGAGAAAAUGUUUUUCUGAACUUGGUCGGUUUCGCCAGCCACGAGGAGGAGACAGAGCGGUUCCUUCUGAGCGUGAAGCGGGCUGUGGGUGUUGCCAUCUGUGCAAGAGCUCACAGCCAUUGAUGAUCGUUCUUCCUCUCCUUUAUGGGGAGGUGGAGGGAGGAACCGCAUUCUGAGUGGUU
ensembl:snoRNA